rnacentral:rRNA from 1 species
AACGCGAAGAACCUUACCAAGUCUUGACAUCCCCCUGACCGGAACUUAACCGUUCCUUUCCUUCGGGACAGGGGAGACAGGUGGUGCAUGGUUGUCGUCAGCUCGCGUCGUGAGAUGUUGGGUUAAGUCCCGCAACGAGCGCAACCCUUAUCCUUAGUAGCCAGCACAUGAUGGUGGGCACUCUAGGGAGACUGCCAGGGAUAACCUGGAGGAAGGUGGGGAUGACGUCAAAUCAUCAUGCCCCUUAUGAUUUGGGCUACACACGUGCUACAAUGGCGUAAACAAAGGGAAGCGACCCCGCGAGGGUAAGCAAAUCUCAAAAAUAACGUCUCAGUUCGGAUUGCAGGCUGCAACUCGCCUGCAUGAAGCUGGAAUCGCUAGUAAUCGCGAAUCAGAAUGUCGCGGUGAAUACGUUCCCGGGUCUUGUACACACCG